ACCCGACGCGCAUUAGCGGAGUGCCGAGACGUGCUGAAGCGUGCUGGCCGUGCGAAUGCGUGACGAGAAGAUCAGCA
rnacentral:sRNA from 1 species